UCCGGAUUUCUUCAUCUGCGUGGUUUUCUGGAGAGUCCAGACUGCAGACUGCAGACUCUGAGGUUGGAGAACUGCAGUUUGUCAAAGAUCAGCUGUGCUGCUCUGGUCACAACUAUGAAUUUAAACCCGUCCCACCUGAAAGAACUGGACCUGGGCUACAACAGCCUUCAGUCUUCAGAUGUUCAGCAGCUCCAGGAUCUGGUGGAGAGUCCAAACUCCAAACUGCAGACUCUGAGGUGGGAGGGAAAGAUCAGGAGAAUCUGAUGUUCCUCCUGGUGGAUCAGAGAGAAGCAACAGCAGACGCACUGAUGGAGAACUGCACUUCAUCUUUUCAUUCUAACUUGGAGUGUUGGGAAGUCUUCUGCUUCUCUUCUCUCUCGUAUUUGGAGUUUCUCUUAACUUUGUCCUCACACUCUUGCUGUAGUUUUCUCCUCAUUUCUCCUCCUUCAUCAGAUUCAGACAUGAUGGUUUCCUGCAGAAGCUCAGAAGUCUUUUCUGGUGUUUCUUGGACUCCUGCACAUCUCUGUACCACAGAGUGGACCAGCAUUCUCUGAACACCCUUCAGCUGGUCCAGAAAGCAGCAGCAUGGCUGUUUUCCAACGAAAGAAAACCUUCCAGCAGUUCUGGCCUCAGGAUUCUCCAUCUGGGAGCAUUUUGGUUCUUCUUUUUCAUCUUUAUCAGACCUUUCAGAACCACAAAGUGGACUGAGGUCCUCUGAUUAAAGGCUGCUGGGUUUUGGAUUUUGUUCAUUAUUUUACAGGAUGUUGUUCUAUUGUAACCAUGGUAACUGUGGGAACUGCACUCCUGUUUACUCUGAGUCCUGAAGCAGAAAUCCCACCAGAACUAACAAAAGUCUCUCAGUUGAAUCAUUUUUAUAUCAUCUCUGUUCUGUUGAUGAUCAAAUAUUGACUCAUGCAGUUUGAAAGACUCAGAGUUUUAGUUUGAUGUUUUCUACAGUUUUAUGAUUGAACUUCCUUUUUCUUUGGUGUUUUCUGGGUAAAACUCUGUUCUUUUUCAUGCUGUUAGCAUUUUUAUCUGCAGUUUUAAAGAAGUUUCAUCUAAAUCCAGUAGAAUCUGAUCAUUUUCUAGAAAGUCUGAAACUAGUAGAAACUUUCUGAGUAUAAAGCCUGUUUUCUCCAGAGGACAUGAAUGAACAGAGUGGAUGUUAGUGAGGAAUGAGGUGUUCCGGGCAUGUCCCACUGGGCGGAGGCCCCAGGGAAGACCCAGGACAUGCUGGAGAGACUAUGUUUCUCGGCUGGCCCGGGAACACCUCGGGGUCCCCCCAGAGGAGCUGGAAGAAGGGCCCGGGAGAGGGAAUUCUGGGCAUCUUUGCUCAGACUGCUGCCCCCGCGACCCGGUCCCGGAUGAAGCGGAAGAAGAUAGAUGGAUGGAUGGAUCUCUUCUUAAUAAAGUUAAUAAAAAGACACAAGGCAUAAGGAGUCGUCUUUCUCUUCUUUAUCUUAAUUAUGUAUUUUUAGGAAUUUGAUUAUUUUGUUCUAAGUAAUAAAUCAGACGUUCAAACUCUU